rnacentral:rRNA from 1 species
CCUACGGGAGGCAGCAGUGAGGAAUAUUGGUCAAUGGGCGAGAGCCUGAACCAGCCAAGUCGCGUGAGGGAGUACUGCCCUAUGGGUUGUAAACCUCUUUUGUCGGGGAGCAAAAGCCGGACGUGUCCGGCUGUGAGAGUACCCGCAGAAAAAGCAUCGGCUAACUCCGUGCCAGCAGCCGCGGUAAUACGGAGGAUGCGAGCGUUAUCCGGAUGGAUUGGGUGUAAAGGGUGCGUAGGCGGAUUUGUAAGUCCGCGGUCAAGUCGUGGGGCUCAACCCCAUCCAGCCGGUGAAACUGGGGGGCUGGAGUGUGCGAGAGGUAUGCGGAAUGCGUGGUGUAGCGGUGAAAUGCAUAGAUAUCACGCAGAACCCCGGUUGCGAAGGCAGCAUACCGGUGCACAACUGACGCUCAGGCACGAAAGCGUGGGUAUCGAACAGGAUUAGAUACCCUAGUAGUC